rnacentral:rRNA from 1 species
AUUGAACGCUGGCGGCAGGCCUAACACAUGCAAGUCGAGCGAGCGGCGGACGGGUGAGUAAUGUCUGGGAAACUGCCUGAGAGAGGGGGAUAACUAAUGGAAACGGUAGCUACUAUCGCAUACCAUCAGAUGUGCCAAGAUGGGAUUAGCUAGUAGGUGGGGUAACGGGUCACCUAGGCGACGAUCCCUAUCUGGUCUGAGAGGGUGAGCAGACGAAAGAGAACUGAGCGCGGGCCCAGACUCCGACGGGCGGCAGCAGUGGGGAAUAUUGCACAAGGGGCGCAAGCCAGAUGCAGCCAGGCCGCGGGAGUGAAGAAGGCCUUAGGGUUGUAAAGCACUUUCAGCGGGAAGGGGUUACCCGCAGAAGAAGCACCGGCUAACUCCGUGCCAGCAGCCGCGGUAAUAC